CAAGGGUAACCAUAGAGUUUUAAGAUCCUGGCUCAGUAAGUCGUAACAAGGUAACCAUAGUAGUUUUGAUUUCUGCUCAGGACGAACGCUGGCGGCGUGCCUAUACAUGCAAGUCGAGCGGACAUGAUGGGAGCUUGCUCCCUGAUGUUAGCGAGCGGACGGGUGAGUAACACGUGGGUAACCUGCCUGUAAGACUGGGAUAACUCCGGGAAACCGGGGCUAAUUGACCGGAUGCUUGUUUGAACCGCAUGGUUCAAAUCAUAAAAGGUGGCUUCGGCUGACCACUUACAGAUGGACCCGCGGCGCAUUAGCUAGUUGGUGAGGUAACGGCUCACCAAGGCAACGAUGCGUAGCCGACCUGAGAGGGUGAUCGGCCACACUGGGACUGAGACCAACGGCCCAAGACUCCUACGGGAGGCAGCAGUAGGGAAUCUUCCGCAAUGGACGAAAGUCUGACGGAGCAACGCCGCGUGAGUGAUGAAGGUUUUCGGAUCUGGUAAAGCUCUUCGCGUUGUUAGGGAUUAGAACAAGUACCGUUCGAAUAGGGCGGUACCUUGACGGUACCUAACCAGAAAGCCACGGCUAACUACGUGCCAGCAGCCGCGGUAAUACGUAGGUGGCAAGCGUUGUCCGGAAUUAUUGGGCGUAAACGGGCUCGCAGGCGGUUCCUUAAGUCUGAUGUGAAAGCCCCCGGCUCAACCGGGGAGGGUCAUUCCGGAAACUGGGGAACCUGAGUGCAGAAGAGGAGAGUGGAAUUCCACGUGUAGCGGUGAAAUGCGUAGAGAUGUGGAGGAACACCAGUGGCGAAGGCGACUCUCUGGUCUCGUAACUGACGCUGAGGAGCGAAAGCGUGGGGAGCGAACAGGAUUAGAUACCCUGGUAGUCCACGCCGUAAACGAUGAGUGCUAAGUGUUAGGGGGUUUCCGCCCCUUAGUGCUGCAGCUAACGCAUGCCACCUAAGCACUCCGCCUGCUGGGAGUACGGUCGCAAGACUGAAACUCAAGUUAGGAAUUGACGGGGGCCCGCACAAGCGGUGGAGCAUGUGGUUUAAUUCGAAGCAACGCGAAGAACCUUACCAGGUCUUGACAUCCUCAUGACAAUCCUAGAGAUAGGACGUCCCCUUCGGGGGCAGAGUGACAGGUGGUGCAUGGUUGUCGUCAGCUCGUGUCGUGAGAUGUUGGGUUAAGUCCCGCAACGAGCGAUCAACCCUUGAUCUUAGUUGCGCAGCAUUCAGUUGGUGCACUCUAAGGUGACUGCCUAGGUGACAAACCGGAGGAAGGUGGGGAUGACGUCAAAUCAUCAUGCCCCUUAUGACCUGGGCUACACACGUGCUACAAUGGACAGAACAAAGGGCAGCGAAACUGCGAGGUUAAGCCAAUCCCACAAAUCUGUUCUCAGUUCGGAUCGCAGUCUGCAACUCGACUGCGUGAAGCUGGAAUCAGCUAGUAAUCGCGGAUCAGCAUGCCGCGGUGAAUACGUUCCCGGGCCUUGUACACACCGCCCGUGCACACCACGAGAGUUUGUAACACCCGAAGUCGG
rnacentral:rRNA from 1 species